AUGUGGUUUUUUCGCGGAAGCGGCUUCACCGAAAAGGCCGAAAGGCGCGGGGCGACCACAGUGUUGAACUGCGCGGAACUUUCUCAAUUGCCAACCCCUUGCCGAAUAGUGGAAUUUAUACUAGCCCCAGGGUCUGUGGGCAGGGAUGAAAGCUCAGACUCCCCAGUCUCCAAUCACGGGAUCAGGUCCCUCCCAACCCUUUACCACCCACCCCUUCUCCGUCCCUUCCCUUUCGUCCACGUUCGCUUCAUUUUUAGUAGUUUCAUCGAAGAGCGAGCGAGGCGCAACAAGAGAAAUAUAGUCGUAAGUUUAUGCCAUGUUGCCGACAGAAUCGUGCAAUCAGCGCCUUCGAUAGCUCAGUUGGCAGAGCGGUGGACUGUAGUUGAGUUCAGAACGGUAAUCCAUAGGUCGCUGGUUCAACUCCGGCUCGAAGGACAUAAUUUUUUGACUGUACCAAUUUUUAAAGAAUAAUAAACCUGACCUCCAAUGCGCCAGUUAGACUCCUUUGAAAGCACUCUGAGCUGAAAUGAUACUUUUCAAAUGAACUGAUCAACAUUUAAUAAAUUCAAUAUCUGAUGCUCGACGAGUUUCCAAAAGGAAAACUAGGUUCAGCACAAACACCUACCAUCAUGAACUAGUAAACGUUUAACAAUUUAAGGUAGUAGAAAAUUACAUACGCUCUGAAAAUUUUGCAUCAACUGCAUAAACGAAUUUUCCGUGAGCUGAACUUGUUUAGUUUGUCCUUACAGCAUUUAGAGAAAAAGCCCCCCCCCCCCCAAAAAAAAAAAUAAAUAAAAAAAAUAUUUGGGAUUUAUUACCCUAAAAAUCCUAUAUAAUAAUGUAAUAUUUUAAGUUCAUUACUUUUAUUCUUUUUUUAAUUAUUUAUUUCUACAGUAGGUCAGUUGUGCUGGGCUCAGAAUUGUGUUUUGAAGCUUGACUAUACUGUUGGAUAGCCCCUGCUCAAACAAUAACUUUCAACGUUCAAUAUUAUUGAGAUAUCGCGGUUUAAAAAAAUCGGUUUAUGACGUCAUCCACCGUGGUAUUAACACCCUUGAUUUCUUUCAUCGUGCUCUCAUCCAAGUUUCACGUUGAGUAACCAGUGCAAGUGUGUGCCUCACUAAUUGAUGGGAGCGAGGUGAUAGAAUCAAGAGCGUCACUACCGCGGUAGAUGAAGUCUCAAAACCGAAUUUUAGCGCGAUAUCUUGUCCAAUAUUAAUCGUAGAGGGUUGCUGUUUGGACAGAGCUUGUUAUUUUUUGGCUGAUCUGCUAGAUUCAAGCAACAAAGUACGAUUCUGAGACCAGCAAUUGACCCAUUUGCAACUGAUUGCACAUUCGUGUGUAAAAUAAUGCUGAUACAUAUUACGUAUACGUUCCUCAGUACCUAGAGGGCUUCGUAUGAAAAGAAUCCUCCCCGCCAUGCAUUCGCUGUAUACCAGGAGAAAUAAUGAAUGAAAAAC
rnacentral:tRNA from 1 species